rnacentral:rRNA from 1 species
CCUACGGGAGGCAGCAGUAGGGAAUAUUGCUCAAUGGGGGAAACCCUGAAGCAGCAACGCCGCGUGAAGGAUGAAGGUUUUCGGAUUGUAAACUCCUUUUGUUAGAGAAGAUAAUGACGGUAUCUAACGAAUAAGCACCGGCUAACUCCGUGCCAGCAGCCGCGGUAAUACGGAGGGUGCAAGCGUUACUCGGAAUUACUGGGCGUAAAGAGCGCGGAGGCGGGAAAGCAAGUCAGAUGUGAAAUCCUAGGGCUUAACCAUAGAACUGCAUUUGAAACUGUUAUUCUAGAGUAUGGGAGAGGCAGGUGGAAUUCGUGGUGUAGGGGUAAAAUCCGUAGAGAUCAAGAGGAAUACUCAUUGCGAAGGCGACCUGCUAGAACAUAACUGACGCUGAUGCGCGAAAGCGUGGGGAGCAAACAGGAUUAGAUACCCGAGUAGUC